rnacentral:rRNA from 1 species
UACGUAGGGUGCAGGCGUUGUCCGGAAUUAUUGGGCGUAAAGAGCUCGUAGGCGGUCUGUCACGUCGGCUGUGAAAACCCGAGGCUCAACCUCGGGCCUGCAGUCGAUACGGGCAAACUAGAGUACUGCAGGGGAGACUGGAAUUCCUGGUGUAGCGGUGAAAUGCGCAGAUAUCAGGAGGAACACCGGUGGCGAAGGCGGGUCUCUGGGCAGUAACUGACGCUGAGGAGCGAAAGCGUGGGGAGCGAACAGG